rnacentral:misc_RNA from 1 species
GAUCACAUCCCCCAACCCAAGCUGUCACAUACAUGCAAGUGUUAAAAGUUAUUAUCUAUUUUAAAUUGUAGACACAUUGCAUGGGGGCAUCUGCAAGUAGAGACAUUGCAUGGGGGCAAUUUCACCAUAUGCGGACUUCCAUCAGCACUGAAGGUGGCUUAGCAAGGAUGAAUUUAGGCAGUCUCACCUUUUCCUACCCCUGAUUUUUCCUUGACCUUAAAAACUACAUUUUAUAUUAUAAUUGACCCAUAUAAACAUAUGAAACUUAUUUAUCUUUGGAAAUAUAUUAUUUAUUGCCCAAUAUUAUUCCUUUUUCCUCAAAUAUUAACUCAUAAUAUUCAAUGUUUGACAAUGUGUGCAUAAAUAAUUUAAUGAUAAUAAUGAGAACAUAAUUUUCUAAAAAAUCAUUUUUUUAAAUAGGAUACCCACAGCCUUGGCCUGCCUCCACCCUGGUUUACCAACAGGAAGGAGCAGGUGGGAUGGGAUUAUGGGAAUAUCAAAACCCAACCCGUCCAUUACAUAUGUAAGCCACAACAUUGGAACGGAAUGAUGCAAACUUGAUUUCUUGAUCAACUAACAUGCAAAAUAAAUCUUCUUAUUUAGCUUGCCAUGAAGUACACUAGUGCAGAAAUGACAUUAAUCCAAAAUCAUUUCAGAUGCUCCCUAAAUAUGAUAUUUGAUGAGUGUUAAGCAUCAUACCUGGCCAUACUUGUUCCACCCCCA